ACGGCCUAAAGCGUGGUUAAAUUAUAUUAUUAAAAAUAGAAAUAAAAAUUAACUUAACUGUUGUACGUAUAUGUUAAACGUAAAAUUAAAAUCGAAAGAUAUUCUAAUUAACAAAUUAUUUGAACCCACGAAAGCUAAGAAACAAACUAGGAUUAGAUACCCUACUAUGCUUAGCCUUAAACUUUGAAUUUCCGCCCGAGUACUACGAGCCAUAGCUUAAAACUCAAAGGACUUGGCGGUGCUCUAUACCCCCCUAGAGGAGCCUGUUCUAUAAUUGAUAAUCCCCGCUAAACCUCACCACUUAUUGCUAAUCCCGUUUAUAUACCGCCGUCGUCAGCUCACCAUUUAAGUGUAUAAUAGUAGGCAAAAUAAUAAACAUAAAAACGUCAGGUCAAGGUGUAGCGAAUUAAGUGGAAAGAAAUGGGCUACAUUUUCUAUACAGAAAAUACGAAAAAUUUUAUGAAAAAACAUUUAAAGGUGGAUUUAGCAGUAAAAAGAAAAUAGAGUGUUCUUUUUAAAUAGGCCCUAGAGCGCGCACACACCGCCCGUCACCCUCUUCAUAAAAAAAAUUCACAAUAUAAUAAUAAAUAUAUUAAUAAAGAAGAGGUAAGUCGUAACAUGGUAAGUUUACCGGAAGGUGUACUUGGAUUU
rnacentral:rRNA from 1 species